GUUCGGUGGAAACGAGAAUAAAGCGUGAAGGAUAACGUUGCGUCAGCAACGGCCCGUAGGGCGAGGCGAAGCCGAGUCAUCCUGCACAACCCACCA
rnacentral:sRNA from 2 species